GACAAACGCUGGCGGCGUGCGUAAAACAUGCAAGUCGCACGGAGCUUCGGCUCAGUGGCAGACGGCUGAGUAACGCGUAGGGAUCUACCGCUCGGUGGGGAAUAACGGCCCGAAAGGGUCGCUAAUACCGCAUACGACCACCUUUCGGGGUGAGGAAAGCCGUAAGGCGCCGAACGAGGAACCUGCGUCCGAUUAGCUAGUUGGUGGGGUAACGGCCUACCAAGGCGUCGAUCGGUAGCUGGUCUGAGAGGAUGACCAGCCAGACUGGAACUGGGACACGGCCCAGACUCCUACGGGAGGCAGCAGUUAGGAAUUUUGGGCAAUGGCCGCAAGGCUGACCCAGCAACGCCGCGUGGGGGACGAA
rnacentral:rRNA from 1 species